rnacentral:lncRNA from 1 species
GUUUCUGUCUCAGGCUCGGGGUGUAGGAAGAUACCAGGAAGCAUUGCAAGGACCGUGUCCCUGCUGAGCUACAACCUGCAGAAGGGAUGGGCCCUGCCGCUCUCAGGAUAACUUGCUUUCUGCAGAGGAAGGGCGGCUGCCUCUGCAGUGACUCCAGCAGCACCGGUUAGUACAGUAGAAGUAGGAACCCCUUGAACUGACGUUGCAGAGGCUGGACAGAGAGUACAAAGCAUAGGCUCCUGCGAAGUGGGUACUCAGGCACAUGUGCCUCCUUAAAACAGAAGCUCGGACCUGGAGAAAUAUCAACAGGCACUGAAGUGCUCACCUGAAUGAGCUAAAUAUACACCUGCUUCCACCUCCAGCUGCUAGAAAUCUAUGGACUGAGUUUGGGGUAAAGGAUUGAAAUGUUUUUGUCAUGAUAACAUAUGCUUCAACUCUGCAGAAGAUGCGUGUAUAUUUUUAUGAUGGCUUGGUGCUAUUAUUGUAAAAGUAAGCCAUUUUUAAAGUCCUUCUGUCAGUACGGCAUAGGGUCUCCAACCACGAUCCCUGGCAAUGUGUGCCUGAGGACAGCCCUAAGGGAGAAAGGUUUCUAUCUUCUCCCCCUCCCAGCUUCCUGAACCUUUGCUCCUGGGAGAGCCAGCUGCAUGGCAAGGCCUGCCCAUGCCCAUGAAGUCAGCAAGAGGCUUGUCAUCCUCUACAGGGGACUCCCAUGGCAGCCUGACCAUGCCUCGUGUCCUCCUCCACCACAGCCCAUGAGACAGCAGCCCCAACAGCUUCAUCUGGUCUCCUGAAGGGUUGUGCCAGAGGAGGACGACCUCCCCGGCAGUUCAGGAGGAGGCGAUUUCACAGCCCACAUCUGGCUGCCCUGCUGUCCCUGCCUCUCUCGCUGUGGGACUGUGCAAGCCCAGAGAGCGCUUCACGUGCUGCUUGACAUCCUUGCCCUGCUGAGGCACCAGAGACACCACCUCUCCUCCCCUUUCUCCUGGCAUGCUGCCACCCAAACUCACCAGGCAGCUUCAGGGUGUUUUUUUUUUUUUGUCCUCUGGUGGGAAAUUUCCUUUGACCCUUUCAAGUGGGACAAGAACAGAUAUUAGAUUUGUUGAUGAUGAAGUGCUUUUAUCUAGAUUCAACAAAAGAGGUACAAUGAAAAGAUUGCAGCUGCUGAGCGAAAGCGCCGCACCUAUUACAGAGUUCAUACGCAUUUACAAGUGGCACAUCAGCGAAGGCUCUCCUCACCCCAGCAGAUUUCAUCUUCAAGGCCUUGAGAAGUUAUAAAAUUCGGAUGAAGAAUGAAGAAGUCACCCUCUGGUCCAGCAGCCCCUGCCCCAGGACAUGGGAGGACACCUUCCUUACCUUGCUAGCUUCCAAGUUUGGAGCCCCUGGUGCAGAGAAGCAGCUCGGUGUUCAAGGUUCACAGUGUUUUCAUGGACAAGUGGGGUCAUUGGCAAAGCUCGCAGCCAAACCAUGAAAGUUUUUCAGUUGACUUCGACACAACAUUUACUCUGCUCUGAUGAACAAAGCAAAUGUUCAGUUAACUACUGACAUGCAGCUUCUGGUCCUAAUAUUAAAUCUUUGUUUUGUUCUCUCUUCUUGUACCUUUACCAAAUAGUAGUAAAUUAUUUCAUGGGUUAACCUGACUUUCCUUCUCUUCCCCUGUCCUUCAAGAAGGUGUCUUCUAAGGGAGACCUGCAGUUUGCAGAAAAGCCCAGGCACAACCAACAAGCAAGACCUAGUUAGAGCAAUCAGUGAUUUUAGGCUCCCUCCUCAUCCCAAGUGGCUCUGGCAGUUUCCUUUUAGUCGUUAGCAUUGCUCAUAUUAUUUACACAGCUGCUCCAGUAACUUUUUCUUGUUAUAUAUUUAUUUCUUACUAGUUGUGUUUUUUUAAUAUUAUAUUUAUAUUAAAUUUUUC